ensembl:snRNA
ACCAUCCUUUUUUGGGGGUUGCGUUACUGUCCAAUGAGCAUCUAAUGAGGGCAGUACUGCUAACGCCUACACAACACGCUUGCAUCAAUUAGAGCUUUGUUUUAUUUUGGUGCAAUUUUUGGAAAA